AUACCAGCUCUCCGAGUGGUGUGGAUGUUUAUUGGGCCUAAAGCAUCCGUAGCUGGCCAAGUUAGUCCCCUGUUAAAUCCACCGAUUUAAUCGUUGGUGUGCGGGGGAUACUGCUCGGCUAGGGGACGGGAGAGGCAGACGGUAUUUCCGGGGUAGGGGUGAAAUCCUAUAAUCCCGGGAGGACCACCAGUGGCGAAGGCUGUCUGCUAGAACGCGCCCGACGGUGAGGGAUGAAAGCUGGGGGAGCGAACCGGAUUAGAUACCCGGGUAGUCCCAGCUGUAAACGAUGCAGGCUAGGUGUUUGGACGGCCACGUGCCGUUCUAGUGCCGCAGGGAAGCCGUUAAGCCUGCCGCCUGGGGAGUACGUUCGCAAGAAUGAA
rnacentral:rRNA from 1 species